CCGCUUAAUAUCACCAUCACAUAAUAUCAUGUAGUAUUCAACGAAGCUAAUCCAUCCAUCAUCACAUCACAUAAUAUCAUUAUCUCCAUCCACACGUACAGAUAGACAAUAUAAUAUAAAAAUAGAGUAUUAGAAAGUUUGGCAGUAGAAUAAGACAUUUAAAACAUGCACGCCACAUGUCAACUUAAUGCAUUUUAGUUUUAUGCCAGCUUCCUUCUCCAUGUCCGCUUCAUGUGUUGCUUCCACUUAACACACUGCAAGUAACACCAAUUGAUACACAUUUUAGUUUGUAUGGUUACACAAUUAUAUAGUUCAAUGCUAGUAACAUAGCAUAGCAGUGUGGUUAAACAAUAUAUAGCAGUAGGAGUUAGUAGCUGAAAUAAAUCAAUUUAUUCUAGUUCCACUAAAUAAAUUCUCUAAAACCAGAACAUAUGUGUUGCUUCCACUAAAACCAAAACAUAUUUGUUGCUUCCACUGAAAAAACUAGAAUACCAUAUGUGUUGCUUCCACUAAAUAAAUUCACUGAAUAAAUUCUAUAUAAAAAAACUUGUGUUAAUGCACUAAAAUCAGAAAAAUAGCAAAGGCUCCUCCUUUUAUUCUAGUUCCACUAAUAAAAGCUGAAACAGAAAUAUUGUAUCCUUACUAGUAAUGUUAAACCUUACUGUAUUUAACAAAAAAACUGAAUAAUUUACUGACAAGUGGCAAUGCCAGAUAUAUGAAACAGUUUUAAGUUUGGGUAGCAUUUUAGUUCAUGGAUACUUUCCAAAUGUUUGAUCCUUGUCAUCAUCAGCUAGCAGUUACCAUCAGCAGCUACUAGCAGUUGUUAAAAACAGUUGUUAAGAAAAAUACCUGUAAGCCUAUCUCUUCAUCGCCACAUUCACCUCACAUCACAUGAUAGUAGUGAGCGCUCUACAAGCACUGUGGAGAAAAAUAAUCAGCAAUAAUCAUAUAAACAACCUUCAAUUGCAUACAAACUAAGAAUUAGAACUUACCUAAUUUUCCUCUUCAACCAAAGUAAUCUAGCAUUGUGGUUUUUUGACUUUAUAAACACCUCUCGGUUUAUCGCAGAUUCAAAGACCUCCAUUGCAUAUGAUCUAUCCUCAUCUGUAAACCCAUCAAUUCUAUCCAACUUGCCUAGGACACUUUCCCACUGGUUUGCAGUCAAAGAACAUGAGAAAUAAUCAAUUAAAUUCAAGAGUGAAGGAACACUUGGUUACCUUAGGUAGCUUAUCUAUUCAAGGAUGAUAAUUCAGUUAUCCUGGACCAACAACCUGUCACAUAACAUGAAAGGAACUUAGAAAAUACCAGAAAAGCAAUUCAGUUCAGUUAAACUGCAUUGGAGUGUCACAUAACAGGAAAUCAGUUCAGUUCAGUUAAUCUAUUAGCUCCGGAUACGUCAUUAUGAACCACACUUAAUAAUGAAAUUACAAGCGCACAGAACUGAGAAACUAUGAUCAUCUCUUAUCUCUUAGAUAAAAAAUAGGUAAAGAAACUGAGGUAAACAUGAGCUGCCUGUAAAAGUUGUUUUUUACUGGUGGUUCUAUUAGCCACUACAAACUUAAUUUACCACGCUAUUCCAAUGAAGACCAGAAACACACAUAUAUAUAUACGACCGGAAGGUACAUGAAGACCAUUUAAAUCUGGGAUCAUUCGAUCACACAAUGGGUACAGAUGAAAGGAUUACGCGGUCGUCUCCUAGGAAAAAAUACAAGGGAGAAAAAUAAAGCUGGCCAGAUUAUAAUCCAUAUAGAACAUGUGGAAAAUGUAUAUCCUAUCUAUCCCGUGUCUUGGCUCACACACAAUCAAAUUCAGAGUAUCAAACCAUAUAAUUAUCUGCGCCCAUUUCAGCUUUCACAGCAAAGCAUAAAGAAUCAACAAAAUAAAUUCAGAUUGCAUACGUACAAGAAUAAAGCAUAGUUAAGGAGGAAAACAAGAAAUAACCGAUCUAACUUAUUUGUGCCGCCUCACUGCUAGUACUAAACCUAUUGAUCUUGGCAUGUGACUUUUUAUUACAAAAUAUCUCUAGAUUAAUUUUACCGUGGAUUGUAUGUAUUAACUCGGCCACAACACUGCUAUUAAAAAUUGCUGGAUCGUAGCAGGAAUUUAUAAUAAUCUUGGCAUGUGACGCUAGUAGAGGGAAGAAGCAUAGUUAAUAUCCCUGGAUUGGAGGAGGCAGAUCUUGGAGGAGGCUGAUUAUAAUACCUCACUGCUGUUACCGAGCGGAACUUGAAAGAGAGCAGAGGAGAUGACAGAGCAUGUGUGAGUAGAGGAAGAAUGCAGGGAGAACGCAGAUGAGAGCACAAACCCUAGACCACGUCGUCUGUGGAGGAGGGAGCAGUCGAGACCGUGUCGAGGGAGGGAGGACUGGGGAUGACUGCGGCGGCGUUGUGGACGGCGACAGAGUGGACGGAGGCAGCAGAGGAAGUCCGACUCGCGUCACCGCGCCAGCGUCGCUCGCGCCGCCUCCCCCUCGUAUGCGGGGAAAGCUGUCCGGCCUCGCUGCUGGUGGAAAGCUGCCCCGGGUAUUUUGAUCGGGUCGAGGGAGAACUGGCCCGGCAGAUUGGCUUCCAAAUAGGCCAGAAAUUUUCCCUGGGCGCUAUUUCCACGCGGA
rnacentral:lncRNA from 1 species